rnacentral:rRNA from 1 species
AGCUCCAAUAGCGUAUAUUAAAGUUGUUGCAGUUAAAAAGCUCGUAGUUGGAUUUCUGAUUUCAAUAUCCGGUCCUUUUGUCUUUGACGAAUGUGUACUAAGGAUAUUUGGGUCAUGUUUUGUGAGGUUGCUUUUCUGUCAUUAAGUUGAUGGUUUAGUAAGCUUGCAUCGUUUACUGUGAAAAAAUUAGAGUGUUUAAAGCAGGCAUUUUGCUCCUUGAAUACAUUAGCAUGGAAUAAUAAGAUACGACUUUGGUGGUCUAUUUUGUUGGUUUGCACACCAGAGUAAUGAUUAAUAGGGACAGUUGGGGGUAUUCAUAUUUCAGUGUCAGAGGUGAAAUUCUUGGAUCACUGAAGGAUGAGCUUAGGCGAAAGCAUUUACCAUGGAUGUUUUCAUUAAU